GUCGUAACAAGGUUUCCGUAGGUGAACCUGCGGAAGGAUCAUUACUAGAGCAAAGGACAGGCAGCGCCCCACAGAAGCUUGCUUCGUGGCGGGCUACCCUACUCCGGUAGGGUUUAGAGUCGUCGAACCUCUCGGAGAAGUUCGGUCCUGAACUCCACCCUUGAAUAAAUUACCUUUGUUGCUUUGGCAGGCCGCCUCGUGCCAGCGGCUUCGGCUGUUGAGUGCCUGCCAGAGGACCACAACUCUUGUUUUUAGUGAUGUCUGAGUACUAUAUAAUAGUUAAAACUUUCAACAACGGAUCUCUUGGUUCUGGCAUCGAUGAAGAACGCAGCGAAAUGCGAUAAGUAAUGUGAAUUGCAGAAUUCAGUGAAUCAUCGAAUCUUUGAACGCACGUUGCGCCCUCUGGUAUUCCGGGGGGCAUGCCUGUUCGAGCGUCAUUAUAACCACUCAAGCUCUCGCUUGGUCUUGGGGUUCGCGGUUCCGCGGCCCCUAAAAUCAGUGGCGGUGCCUGUCGGCUCUACGCGUAGUAAUACUCCUCGCGAUUGAGCCCGGCAGGUCUACUUGCCAGCAACCCCCAAUUUUUACAGGUUGACCUCGGAUCAGGUAGGGAUACCCGCUGAACUUAAGCAUAUCAAUAAGCGGAGGAAAAGAAACCAACAGGGAUUACCUCAGUAACGGCGAGUGAAGCGGUAACAGCUCAAAUUUGAAAGCUAGCUCUUUUAGGGUUCGCAUUGUAAUUUGUAGAAGAUGCUUCGGGUGUGGCCCCGGUCUAAGUUCCUUGGAACAGGACGUCAUAGAGGGUGAGAAUCCCGUAUGUGACUGGGUGCUUUCGCUCAUGUGAAGCUCUUUCGACGAGUCGAGUUGUUUGGGAAUGCAGCUCAAAAUGGGUGGUAAAUUUCAUCUAAAGCUAAAUAUUGGCCAGAGACCGAUAGCGCACAAGUAGAGUGAUCGAAAGAUGAAAGGCACUUUGGAAAGAGAGUUAAACAGUACGUGAAAUUGUUGAAAGGGAAGCGCUUGCAACCAGACUUGCGCGCUGAUGAUCAUCCGGGCUUCUGCCCGGUGCACUCGUCUGCGCUCAGGCCAGCAUCGGUUUCAGUGGUGGGAUAAAGGCCUUGGGAAUGCAGCUCCUCUCGGGGAGUGUUAUAGCCCUCGGUGCAAUGCCGCCUACCGGGACCGAGGACCGCGCUUCGGCUAGGAUGCUGGCGUAAUGGUUGUAAGCGAC
rnacentral:rRNA from 1 species